GAGGAUCCGAAGCGUUAUCCGGAUUUAUUGGGUUUAAAGGGAGCGUAGAUGGAUGUUUAAGUCAGUUGUGAAAGUUUGCGGCUCAACCGUAAAAUUGCAGUUGAUACUGGAUAUCUUGAGUGCAGUUGAGGCAGGCGGAAUUCGUGGUGUAGCGGUGAAAUGCUUAGAUAUCACGAAGAACUCCGAUUGCGAAGGCAGCCUGCUAAGCUGCAACUGACAUUGAGGCUCGAAAGUGUGGGUAUCAAACAGGAUUAGAUACCCUGGUAGUCCACACGGUAAACGAUGAAUACUCGCUGUUUGCGAUAUACAGCAAGCGGCCAAGCGAAAGCGUUAAGUAUUCCACCUGGGGAGUACGCCGGCAACGGUGAAACUCAAAGGAAUUGACGGGGGCCCGCACAAGCGGAGGAACAUGUGGUUUAAUUCGAUGAUACGCGAGGAACCUUACCCGGGCUUAAAUUGCAGAUGAAUUACGGUGAAAGCCGUAAGCCGCAAGGCAUCUGUGAAGGUGCUGCAUGGUUGUCGUCAGCUCGUGCCGUGAGGUGUCGGCUUAAGUGCCAUAACGAGCGCAACCCUUGUUGUCAGUUACUAACAGGUUCCGCUGAGGACUCUGACAAGACUGCCAUCGUAAGAUGUGAGGAAGGUGGGGAUGACGUCAAAUCAGCACGGCCCUUACGUCCGGGGCUACACACGUGUUACAAUGGGGGGUACAGAGGGCCGCUACCACGCGAGUGGAUGCCAAUCCCAAAAACCUCUCUCAGUUCGGACUGGAGUCUGCAACCCGACUCCACGAAGCUGGAUUCGCUAGUAAUCGCGCAUCAGCCACGGCGCGGUGAAUACGUUCCCGGGCCUUGCACACACCGCCCGU
rnacentral:rRNA from 1 species